GUAGGGAUACCCGCUGAACUUAAGCAUAUCAAUAAGCGGAGGAAAAGAAACCAACAGGGAUUGCCUUAGUAACUGCGAGUGAAGCGGCAAAAGCUCAAAUUUGAAAUCUGGGGCCUCACAGCCUCCGAAUUGUAAUUUCACGAUACGUUUUCGACUGAAGGCUCUGCUUUAAGUUCCUUGGAACAGGACGUCACAGAGGGUGAGAAUCCCGUGAUAGGUGGAGCCUGAUGCAUAUGAUACGUAUUCAACGAGUCGAGUUGUUUGGGAAUGCAGCUCAAAAUGGGAGGUAAAUUUCUUCUAAAGCUAAAUAUUGGCGAGAGACCGAUAGCGCACAAGUAGAGUGAUCGAAAGAUGAAAAGCACUUUGAAAAGAGAGUUAAAAAGUACGUGAAAUUGUUGAAAGGGAAGCGCUUGAGACCAGACUCAAUCUGUAGUGAUCAAUUUGGCUUCUGUCAGAUGCACUUGCUACUUAUUGGGACAGCAUCGGUUUUGGCGGUGGGAUAAAGUCUUGAGGAAUGUAGCUAUCUUCGGGUAGUGUUAUAGCCUCUUGAGUAAUGCCACCAGCUGGGACCGAGGACCGCGCC
rnacentral:rRNA from 1 species